rnacentral:tRNA from 1 species
GGUAAAAUGGCUGAGGUUAGGCGAUAAAUUGUAAAUUUAUUAACGAAAUUUAAUUUCUUUUACCA